rnacentral:lncRNA from 1 species
GGCUAGUCCUAGGAAGUGCGCAUGCUCUACAGUCCCAAGCCCGGGACGCGGCUCCGAGCCUCCGGCUGAUGGAGAUGUGCUCGGUCCUCCCAGGAGUGGCAGAGGUUGGGUAUGAUUGUCCAUCGGGGCCGGAAGCCAGUGUCAUCACUGUGACGGCGUUGCCAGGGAACGAACUCGGGACCUUGGCGCUUGCAAGGCAGGCAGCGGAACCACUGAGUUAAUCCCCAGCCCCUGUUUUUUUUUUUUUUUUUUUUUGAGACUAUACUCUUAAGUGAAAUAAAUCGGACACACAUGUUUAGUCUCUUUUUUUUUGUAUCGGGCAUUGAACUCAGGACCUCACGCUUGCCAGGCAGGUGCUGUGCCGCUGAGCUUAAUCCCCGGCCCUGGACACACAUGUUUAGAUACGGCAUUGUUUUUCUGGUGUGAGAAACUGAAUGUGGAAAUAAGGACUGAGGUGUAUAAUGGAUGUUGGGAAAUGGGAAGAAAGUGUUCAAAUGGGCAGGGGAACAAGGGAGGAGGGAGGGAGAAAGGAAUAGAGGGACAAGAAAACAGUGAAAAUAG